CCUACGGGAGGCAGCAGUGGGGAAUAUUGCACAAUGGGGGAAACCCUGAUGCAGCGACGCCGCGUGAGUGAAGAAGUAUCUCGGGACGUAAAGCUCUAUCAGCAGGGAAGAAAAAGACGGUACCUGACUAAGAAGACGCGGCUAACGACGAGCCCGCAGCCGCGGUAAUACGGAGGGGGGAAGCGUUCUCCGGAUUUACGGGGGUGAAAGGGAGCGUAGACGGCAGCACAAGUAGGGAGUGAAAUCCCGGGGCUUCACCCCGGAACUGCUUUGGAAACUGUGCGGCUGGAGUGCAGGAGGGGUAAGCGCAAUUCCUAUUGUAGCGGUGAACUGCUUAGAUAUUAGGCG
rnacentral:rRNA from 1 species